GUAGUUAGCCGUGGCUUCCUCCUUAGGUACCGUCAUUAUCGUCCCUAAAGACAGAGCUUUACAAUCCGAAGACCUUCAUCACUCACGCGGCGUUGCUGCAUCAGGGUUUCCCCCAUUGUGCAAUAUUCCCCACUGCUGCCUCCCGUAGGAGUCUGGACCGUGUCUCAGUUCCAGUGUGGCCGAUCAGCCUCUCAGCUCGGCUACCCAUCGUUGGCUAGGUGGGCCGUUACCCCGCCUACUACCUAAUGGGACGCGAACCCCUCCUUUAGCGGAUUUCUCCUUUGACCUCUGUGUCAUGCGGCACUGUGGUCUUAUGCGGUAUUAGCACCUGUUUCCAAGUGUUAUCCCCCUCUGUAAGGCAGGUUACUCACGCGUUACUCACCCGUCCGCCGCUAACUUUCGCAGAGUGCAAGCACUCCGCUAAGUCCGCUCGACUUGCAUGUGUUAGGCACGCCGCCAGCGUUCGUCCUGAGCCAUAAUCAAACUCUGA
rnacentral:rRNA from 1 species